GUUUAUUAUUAAAACAUUACAUUUUCAUUGUAAAAAUAAAAAAUUUUUUUUUAUAAAUAAA
rnacentral:tRNA from 1 species